rnacentral:misc_RNA from 1 species
UCAAACUAUUUAGAGGAAGUAAAAGUCGUAACAAGGUUUCCGUAGGUGAACCUGCGGAAGGAUCAUUAACGUACCACCGACGGCGAGGGUGCGCCCGGCUCCGCCCCGAAGAGGGGCCGUGCAGCGGGUGCGUCUGAGCCGCUCAACCUUUGCAAACCCACUGUGCACCUUUGUCGGUGGAGGGCCCCCCAGGGCCCCGAGCCGGAUCACAGACCACAAAGACCAAUGAAUGACCGGGCGGACACAGCUCCGUUCUAAUAGAAACAACUUUCAACAAUGGAUCUCUUGGCUCUCGCAUCGAUGAAGAACGCAGC